AUAUAUGGCCAUAUCACGUUGAAAGCACCGGUUCUCGUCCGAUCACCGAAGUUAAGCAACAUCGAGCCUAGUUAGUACUUAGAUGGGUGACUGCUUGGGAAACCUAGGUGCUGUAAGCA
rnacentral:rRNA from 1 species